CGCGCCGUCUCGCGGCCGAAUCGCCAAGCACUCGGCAUGGAUCCAGCUCCAUGUUCGCCCGUGAAAGCGAUGCGGUGUCCCCGCGGUUAGGUGGACGUGCGAUUCUCGUGUGUGCUGCGGGUACGCGCUGCGUAACGCGUCGUGCGAGCCGUGACGUGCGACCGUGCUACGCCGGGGUCCCCGUGCUCGGCGUUGUUGACUCGCGCGCGAGACAGUGCGUCGUCGGACAACCUCGUUUCGUGCGUCUCCGUGUGGCGUGGCGGCACAGCAGCAGUACCGGCGGCUACGAUCUCGACUCGCAGCAACGGCAGCAGCUACGAAGCGUCCACCCGCGAGGACCCCGUAGAAGCCGAUCACGGCUGCGGCGCGAGCUGGCGAGGGGGACUCGUCGUCGGAGCGUGUCGGCGACGGCGGCUGCGGCGGCGCGUGCUGCGAGGACGAGGUGAAUGCACGGCGGCCGCGGUGUGUGCCAGUGCUGGUGUGCGCGCUCGUCGCCCGUGGAAACCCGCCAAAACCCGCGGCCGCGAACAACCAACAGCACCAACAACAACAACAACGAUAUCGACAUCGUCGCUACGAGGGGUCGGAGUAUCUUCUCGGGUGCCGACGGCGACGACGACGACGGCGGCGGCGGCGGCGGCGACGGUGGUAGUAGUCGCGAGAGGGAUCAUCGUCUGAGCACUCACGACGCAUUGCCGCAGCGACGACGUUGUUGUUGUUGUCAUCAUCAUCGUCGCGGAGUCUCAUCGUCGUCUCGACGCAUCGGUGCGUUGCCGGUUAGCUGCGGCUGGAAGAAGUCGGCCAGCAGCGACUCCUGCCCAGCUCGCUGACAACGGCGGCUGCGUUCUGUUAUUAUUUUGCCGCGGUGCUUUUGACCCUUCGUACCGGGCGAGUUCAUUGCGGCGCUGUCGCGGGGGUGUCAGUCGGUAGUAACACAUCCACCGCGCUCUCUACCGCGUAUCCUCCACCUCCGUCCGUCCGUGCGUUCGUAGCAGCGCCGGCGUCGACGGAACGGCCGACGACGCGGAGGAUCGGGGCGCGUCCUUAAGAAGGCCGCUCGUCGGUCUCGCGGCUGCCGGGAGGACCCGACGGCACCGUGUUACCGGGAGCCAACGAGACGAGAUCGCCGGACCACGUGAUAUACGGUCAGUCAGCAAUCGUCCGCGUCAUGCGGUGCACGCACCACGCUCGCCGAUAAACCGUGUACCGCGCGCGCGCGCGUGUGUGUGUUCUGUGUAUGUGUGUGUGUAUAUUAUGUGUAUGUGCGUGUGAGAGAGAGACUACUCGCGGAGACCGGCACGCGUCCUCCAGCUGUCUCCCAGCCGGGGGAGACUCGAUAGUGCUUCGAGACGACGAUUGAUACGUCCAAGGGAGCGCGUUCCGGGACAACUUCAGCCGCCCGUUGGCUCUCGUGUCAUUGAAGUAUCUUCGCGGAGCGGAAGGCAACGAGGAGGAGCGAGAGGGAGGGAGCAAGGAAGAAGCCGCCGACUGUCAAAAACGGGCGUCGCGCGACGAGGUCGUCGGCCCGCCGGAAGUCGUCCGACAUUUUAGCGGCGGUGAGAGACGAGAGCGGAGACCACGCAGGUGUCCACGUGUGAGCCACCGCAGUCAUCGGCGACCAUCAACCACCACCACCGUCAUCGUUACCACUACCAUCGGCAGCGUCGCCAACACCACUACUACAGUCACACCGUCGCUGUACCGCCACCCACCCGCGCGCGACUUUGAUCGUCGCUUCCUCGGCCACUUCCCGCGCGCGAGAGAGAAGGAGAGACGCGCUGCUCGGCAGUUACACUCGAGAGUUUCACGGCCGCGACCCGAUUGCGAUCGGCGAAAGGAAAGAAGGCUCGCGAGAAGAGAGCGAAGAGGCGAUAAUCUCGCGUGCCUACGUGCGUGUGUGCGAGAGAGAGUCGCGAUCGGAACUCGCGCGUCUCUCUCUCUCCGUCGGUGGUCGUACAGUGCUUGCGCGUCGUGCCGCGCGUGCUACGUCCUUCUCGUUGUCGUGUGUCGUCAUCCGCGCGCAGCGGCGUUCUCUCCCGCGCCCGACAAAGAAAGCGCGAGAACGAACGAGCGAGCGCUCUCUCUCUCGUGCAUCCCAGUGACAGCGGCACGACGCCGAUAACCGCGCGCGCGAAGGUGCCGUUCCUCACCGCCUUCAGUGCCGUUCUCAGCGACGUGAGUUCUUCUCUUUCGCACGCCGCGGAAAGUACGUCCCGUUUUCGUCUCCCUCUCCGCGCGCGCGAUAGAGAGAGAGAGUGAGAGAGGGAGGAAGGAAGGAAGGAAGAAAGGAAGGAAGGAAGGAAGGAAGAAAGGAAGGAAGGACGGAAGGAAGGAAGAGCGACAGAGAGAGAAAGAGAACGGGAUCCCUCUUCCUGGUUUCUCUCCCCCUGAAGUGCGCGACUGUCGGGCAGUGGUGAAAACCGUGGUGCCGCGCCGUUCUACGUAUACAUAUGUAUAUACAUGAGUAUACUCGCAUCGUCGUUGUCGCCCAGUGUUCGCGAACGUGCUACUCCGGCGUGUGUUGAGUUUUCUUGUUUUCUUCGGCGACCAACCGACCGGACCUACCUGCCUGCUUGCCUGCCUCCGCCCCCCUCCACGCGUCAGUCUCUCUCUCUCUCACUCUCUCUGUCUGUUACACUCGGCCUCGCCAGCGUGUUUUCGAAUAUCGUUCGCGACGACGGCGACGACGAGGAGGAGAAGCUGACGGCGAGUGCGGCGGACAAAGAGAACGCGCUUCUGCAUUCGAGGGGGACACGCAUCUCGAACGCAUAUUCAAGGUAUCAUCGCAUCUCGCCUCGCCGCCGACAAAGCAUGAAGGCUGACAGCGACGCGAAGUGACCACCGGGCCUUUUCGCGUCCUCCUUCCUCACCCACCCCCUUCCGAAAUACGCACCAGCUGUGACAAACAGAAAACGAAGGCUGAAUCCUCCGACUAUAUGCAUAUAUAUUUAGAGAAAGAGGCAGGGAAAA